AUGGCCGGCGCCCUGGACGAGGCCAAGAUCAUCGACUACUUCAGGAACAAGAGCGUGCUCAUCACCGGAGCCACGGGCUUCCUUGGCAAGAUCAUGGUGGAAAAGAUCCUGCGGGUCCAGCCGGACGUGAAGCGGAUCUACCUGCCGGUGCGGGCGGCCGACGCCGCCGCGGCCAGGCGCCGGGUGGAGACCGAGGUGGUGGGGAAGGAGCUGUUCGGGGUGCUGCGGGAGCGGCACGGCGCCGGGUUCGACGCCUUCGUCGCGGACAAGGUGGUGGGGCUGGCCGGCGACGUCAUGCGCGAGGGCUUCGGCGUCGACGCCGCCACGCUGCGGGACCUCCGGCUCGCCGACGAGCUCAACGUCAUCGUCAACGGCGCCGCCACCACCAACUUUUACGAAAGGUACGACGUGGCCCUGGACGUGAACGUGGUGGGGGUGAAGCACAUGUGCGACUUCGCCCGGAAAUGCCCCAACCUCGAGGUGCUCAUGCACGUCUCCACGGCCUACGUCGCCGGCGAGAAGCAGGGGCUGGUCCCGGAGAGGCCGUUCAAGGACGGAGAGACGCUGCGCGACGACGGCACCCAGCUCGACAUCGACGCCGAGCUGAGGCUCGCCAGGGACCUCCGGAAGCAGAUGGAGGCCGACGACGAUGUCGACCCCAAGGCCCAGAGGAAGGCCAUGAAGGACCUCGGCCUCACCAGGGCCCGGCACUUUGGGUGGCCCAACACGUACGUCUUCACCAAGUCCAUGGGGGAGAUGAUGCUGGCCCAGAUGAUGCGCGGGGGCGACGUGCCCGUUGUCAUCGUCCGGCCCAGCAUCAUAACCAGCGUCCAGAACGACCCACUGCCAGGAUGGAUCGAAGGCACCAGGACGAUCGACGCCAUCCUGAUUGGGUACGCGAAGCAGAGCCUGUCGUGCUUCCUCGCCGACCUUGACCUCACCAUGGACGUGAUGCCCGGUGACAUGGUGGUGAACGCGAUGAUGGCGGCCACGGUGGCGCACGCCUCCUCCACUCGGUCAUCAGAGCCAGAGAAGAAGCCACCUCCGCAGCAGCAACACCCUCACUCGGUGCCGCCAUCGCCAACGGUGUACCACGUCAGCUCGUCGCUGCGGCACCCGGCUCCGUACGCGGUGUUGUACCGGACGGGGAUGCGGUACUUCGAGGAGCACCCACGUGUGGGGCCCGAUGGCCGCACCGUGCGCACUCGCAAGGUGCGGUUCCUCGGCAGCAUCGCGGCGUUCCACCUCUUCAUGGUGCUCAAGUAUCGUGUCCCCCUCGAGCUCCUUCGCCUGCUCUCUAUCCUCUGUUGUGGCCUCUUCGGUCUUGCCGCCCUCUAUCAUGACCUCGCCCGCAAGUACAGGUUCGUGAUGCAGCUGGUCGACUUGUACGGGCCCUUCUCGCUCUUCAAGGGUUGCUUCGACGAUGUAAACCUCAACAAGCUCAGGAUCACCAUGGCUGAUGGCGACCAUGCCGAUACCGCCGGCGGGCUAUUCAACUUUGACCCCAAGACCGUUGACUGGGACGAUUACUUCUUCAAGGUCCACAUCCCUGGUGUCAUGAAGUACGUCCUCAAGUGA
rnacentral:rRNA from 1 species